rnacentral:rRNA from 1 species
AACGUAGGACGCAAGCGUUAUCCGGAGUUACUGGGCGUAAAGGGCAGGCAGGCGGGCUGAUAAGUUGGGUGUGAAAUCUCCGUGGCUUAACCGGGAGGGUGCAUCUGAGACUGUCAGCCUGGAGGGCAGCAGAGGAGCGUGGAAUUCCGGGUGGAGUGGUGAAAUGCGUAGAGAUCCGGAGGAACACCAGAGGCGAAAGCGGGGCUCUGGGCUGCACCUGACGCUGAACUGCGAAAGCCAGGGGAGCGAACGGG